CUAUAACUCAGAAAGAUCACCUUUCGUUAUGGUUGUGUAAAUUCGAUACAUCGUUCGUUUAUGCAUAACGAAAAGUUACAGAAACGCAUUACUGAAGCGGUAUUGCCAAAAUAAUUUGAAAAUAAAUACUUGAAUUGUUUUUUUUGUGAGUUGUGUGUAUUUGUAUACGCGAGGCGGAGCUGUAAAACGGCAAGGGAAGCGGUGACAAUUGGCGGCCGUUUGUUUUUCUUCGGCACAGCUCGGAUUUUCUACCAACAACACAAUGCUGUGACGGUUUGUCGUCGCGUCAGUCUUUCGACUCAUUGACUUUUUGACAAAACUUGAAGUUUGGCCAUUGGUGACAACGGAGAUUUUGUAUGAAA